GACAAAAUACUAUCAAGAACUGAAGAAAAACCACAUGAAGGAACAUCACCAGUUAGUGCUGAUCAACCCGGCCCGUCAUCUGCACAGGUUUACCUGAUGCAGAGAAACAGCUGAGGCCUGUUUAACCACUGAGGGUCCCACAGGGAACAUUGAAAAAGUCAUGAG